rnacentral:rRNA from 1 species
AUACGUAGGGGGCAAGCGUUGUCCGGAAUCAUUGGGCGUAAAGCGCGUGUAGGCGGUCCGGUAAGUCGGCUGUGAAAGUCCAGGGCUCAACCCUGGGAUGCCGGUCGAUACUGCCGGACUAGAGUUCGGAAGAGGCGAGUGGAAUUCCCGGUGUAGCGGUGAAAUGCGCAGAUAUCGGGAGGAACACCAAUGGCGAAGGCAGCUCGCUGGGACGUUACUGACGCUGAGACGCGAAAGCGUGGGGAGCAAACA